UCUGCAUGUGUGGCGAUGUGUUG
rnacentral:siRNA from 1 species